UUCAGGAUGGCCAAGCGGUCAAAGGCGCAGCGUUCCUGCCACUCGGUUUUGGCGUGGGUUCGAAUCCCACUUCUGAUAA